rnacentral:lncRNA from 1 species
CAUACUCAUGCAUUGCUAAUAAUGUAGUUGAUUACUAAUAUUAUGACUGUAGGUGACCUGGUUGUCUGAGAUGGCACGAGAUAUGUACUCUAUUGAUAUAGAUAGUUGGUUGCUUCAUUUCAUUGAUUGUCCACAAUAAGGUGCUGGGUAAUCAUUAUAAUUGAUACAUCCAUAUGAAUUUAAUUUCAUCAUAUCAGUUGUUUGCUUUUGAUUGUGAGCAUAAAAUAUUUUUUUUGUAGGUCUAAUUGUGCCAUCUAUGUCAUGCAUUUUAUAGAGAGCCUGAUGAUGGGGCAGGAGAUUACAAAUACUCAUAUUCCAGAGUUACGUGAUAGAUAUGCUGCACA